GGAUUCUGGGAAAAAGCCACUAUGGAGGGUGAGAAAGAAGUCAAUACAACAUUUGUGUACAUGAUACAGUUAGGAUAUCCAUUGGGCUUUCUUUAAGAUCAAUAGAUAUUUCACUUGCUUUUCCAUUAAAUCAACUGAUAGGAAGGUCUAUCUUUGAAUGCAAGUCCAUUUCAAGGUUGAUAUCAAGGAAUACCAUGCUUGUUGCUGCAUUGGGCUUUGUCCUCAGAUUUCCUGCUGCAAAAGUUCGCUCUCUUCUCCCCCUGAGGAAUCCUAGUGGAAAAAGGUAUUUGUUUAGCCCAGUUUAAGAAAUAGCUUGAAGACCCUCUCUAGCUACUCCUAUUCAUUGUUCAGUCUGGUCCAACUCUUUGUGACUCUGUAAACUACAGCCCACCAGGCUCCUGAAUUCAUGGAAUUCUCCAGGCAAGAAUAGUGGAGUGGGUAACUAUUUCCUUCUCUAGGGGAUCUUGCGGAUGCAG